rnacentral:rRNA from 1 species
UAGAGUUUGAUCCUGGCUCAGGAUGAACGCUGGCGGUCUGCUUAACACAUGCAAGUCGAACGCAACCUUCGGGUUGAGUGGCGGACGGGUGAGUAACGCGUGAGAAUCUGCCUUGGGGUCGGGGACAACCACUGGAAACGGUGGCUAAUACCGGAUAAGCCUUUGGGUAAAAAAUUUAUUGCCCCAAGAGGAGCUCGCGUCUGAUUAGCUAGUUGGUGAGGUAAGAGCUCACCAAGGCAGCGAUCAGUAGCUGGUCUGAGAGGACGAUCAGCCACACUGGGACUGAGACACGGCCCAGACUCCUACGGGAGGCAGCAGUGGGGAAUUUUCCGCAAUGGGCGAAAGCCUGACGGAGCAAGACCGCGUGAGGGAGGAAGGCUCUUGGGUUGUAAACCUCUUUUCUCAGGGAAGAAGCUCUGACGGUACCUGAGGAAUCAGCCUCGGCUAACUCCGUGCCAGCAGCCGCGGUAAUACGGAGGAGGCAAGCGUUAUCCGGAAUUAUUGGGCGUAAAGCGUCCGCAGGUGGCGAUUCAAGUCUGCUGUCAAAGCACGGGGCUUA